UACGUAGGGGGCUAGCGUUGUCCGGAAUCAUUGGGCGUAAAGAGCGUGUAGGCGGUCCGGUAAGUCCGUUGUGAAAGUCAAGGGCUCAACCCUUGAAUGCCGGCGGAUACUGUCGGGCUAGAGUCCGGAAGAGGCAAGUGGAAUUCCCGGUGUAGCGGUGAAAUGCGCAGAUAUUCGGAAGAACACCAGUGGCGAAGGCGACUCACUGGACAUGUAUUGACGCUGAGGUGCGAAAGCGUGGGGAGCAAACAGG
rnacentral:rRNA from 1 species